rnacentral:rRNA from 1 species
GAUGAACGCUGGCGGCGUGCCUAAUACAUGCAAGUCGAGCGAACGGACGAGAAGCUUGCUUCUCUGAUGUUAGCGGCGGACGGGUGAGUAACACGUGGAUAACCUACCUAUAAAACUGGGAUAAAUUCGGGAAAACGGAGCUAAUACCGGAUAAUAUUUUGAACCGCAUGGUUCAAAAGUGAAAGACGGUCUUGCUGUCACUUAUAGAUGGAUCCGCGCUGCAUUAGCUAGUUGGUAAGGUAACGGCUUACCAAGGCAACGAUGCAUAGCCGACCUGAGAGGGUGAUCGGCCACACUGGAACUGAGACACGGUCCAGACUCCUACGGGAGGCAGCAGUAGGGAAUCUUCCGCAAUGGGCGAAAGCCUGACGGAGCAACGCCGCGUGAGUGAUGAAGGUCUUCGGAUCGUAAAACUCUGUUAUUAGGGAAGAACAUAUGUGUAAGUAACUGUGCACAUCUUGACGGUACCUAAUCAGAAAGCCACGGCUAACUACGUG